rnacentral:rRNA from 1 species
UACGAAGGGGCUAGCGUUGUUCGGAAUUACUGGGCGUAAAGCGUGCGCAGGCGGCUUCUCAAGUCAGGGGUGAAAGCCCAGAGCUCAACUCUGGAAUUGCCUUUGAGACUGAGUGGCUUGAGUACGAGAGAGGUGAGUGAAUUCCAGUGUAGAGGUGAAAUUCGUAGAUAUUGGGAAGAACACCGGUGGCGAAGGCGGCUCACUGGCUCGUAACUGACGCUCAUGCACGACAGCGUGGGGAUCAAACAGGG